AAACGAAGUGGGAAGGCUAAAACAGUCAGGAUGUUGGCUUAGAAGCAGCCAUCAUUUAAAGAAAGCGUAAUAGCUCACUGAUCGAGUCGUCCUGCGCGGAAGAUGUAACGGGGCUAAGCCAGUCACCGAAGCUGCGGAUAUGCGCAAGCAUAUGGUAGGAGAGCGUUCUGUAAGCCUGCGAAGGUGUCUUGUAAAGGAUGCUGGAGGUAUCAGAAGUGCGAAUGCUGACAUGAGUAGCGAUAAUGGGAGUGAAAAGCUCCCACGCCGUAAGCCCAAGGUUUCCUGUUCAACGUUCAUCGGAGCAGGGUGAGUCGGCCCCUAAGGCGAGGCAGAGAUGCGUAGCUGAUGGGAAGCAGGUUAAUAUUCCUGCACCGUCGUGUGAUGCGAUGGGGGGACGGAUCGCGAAUGGUUGUCCGGCGGUUGGAAGUGCCGGUUCUUGACUUGUAGAAGGCCCUUAGGCAAAUCCGGGGGCGUAAUUCAAGGGGUUGAGACGAGCGAACUUGUUCGCGAAGCAAUCGGAAGUGGUUCCAAGAAAAGCCUCUAAGCUUCAGUCACACGAGACCGUACCGCAAACCGACACAGGUGGGCGAGAUGAGUAUUCUAAGGCGCUUGAGAGAACUCGGGAGAAGGAACUCGGCAAAUUGGACCCGUAACUUCGGGAUAAGGGUCGCCCUGGUAGGUUGACUGGUUUACUCCAGGAGGCUGAAAGGGUUGCAAUAAACUGGUGGCUGCGACUGUUUAAUAAAAACACAGCACUCUGCAAACACGAAAGUGGACGUAUAGGGUGUGACGCCUGCCCGGUGCUGGAAGAUUAAAUGAUGGGGUGCAAGCUCUUGAUUGAAGUCCCAGUAAACGGCGGCCGUAACUAUAACGGUCCUAAGGUAGCGAAAUUCCUUGUCGGGUAAGUUCCGACCUGCACGAAUGGCGUAACGAUGGCCACACUGUCUCCUCCCGAGACUCAGCGAAGUUGAAAUGUUUGUGAUGAUGCAAUCUACCCGCGGCUAGACGGAAAGACCCCAUGAACCUUUACUGUAGCUUUGCAUUGGACUUUGAACCAAUCUGUGUAGGAUAGGUGGGAGGCUUUGAAGCGGUCACGCUAGUGAUUGUGGAGCCAACCUUGAAAUACCACCCUGGUUUGUUUGAGGUUCUAACCUUGGUCCGUUAUCCGGAUCGGGGACAGUGCAUGGUAGGCAGUUUGACUGGGGCGGUCUCCUCCCAAAGUGUAACGGAGGAGUUCGAAGGUACGCUAGGUACGGUCGGACAUCGUGCUAAUAGUGCAAUGGCAUAAGCGUGCUUAACUGCGAGACUGACAAGUCGAGCAGGUACGAAAGUAGGACAUAGUGAUCCGGUGGUUCUGUAUGGAAGGGCCAUCGCUCAACGGAUAAAAGGUACUCUGGGGAUAACAGGCUGAUUCCUCCCAAGAGUUCAUAUCGACGGGGGAGUUUGGCACCUCGAUGUCGGCUCAUCACAUCCUGGGGCUGUAGCCGGUCCCAAGGGUAUGGCUGUUCGCCAUUUAAAGUGGUACGUGAGCUGGGUUUAAAACGUCGUGAGACAGUUUGGUCCCUAUCUGCCGUGGGCGUUGGAAAUUUGAAGGGGGCUGCUCCUAGUACGAGAGGACCGGAGUGGACGAACCUCUGGUGUACCGGUUGUCACGCCAGUGGCAUUGCCGGGUAGCUAUGUUCGGAAGAGAUAACCGCUGAAAGCAUCUAAGCGGGAAACUUGCCUUAAGAUGAUAUUUCCCGGAGCUUUAAGCUCCUUGAAGGGUCGUUCUAGACCAGGACGUUGAUAGGCUGGGUGUGGAAGUGCAGUAAUGCAUUAAGCUAACCAGUACUAAUUGCCCGUAAGGCUUGUCC
rnacentral:rRNA from 1 species